ACGAAGGGUGCAAGCGUUAAUCGGAAUUACUGGGCGUAAUGCGUGCGUAGGCGGUUCGUUAAGUCUGUCGUGAAAGCCCUGGGCUCAACCUGGGAAUGGCGAUGGAUACUGGCGAGCUAGAGUGUGAUAGAGGAUGGCGGAAUUCCCGGUGUAGCGGUGAAAUGCGUAGAGAUCGGGAGGAACAUCCGUGGCGAAGGCGGCCAUCUGGAUCAACACUGACGCUGAGGCACGAAAGCGUGGGGGGCAAACAGGA
rnacentral:rRNA from 1 species